AGUGAACGCUGGCGGUAGGCCUAACACAUGCAAGUCGAACGGCAGCACAGUAAGAGCUUGCUCUUACGGGUGGCGAGUGGCGGACGGGUGAGGAAUACAUCGGAAUCUACUUUUUCGUGGGGGAUAACGUAGGGAAACUUACGCUAAUACCGCAUACGACCUACGGGUGAAAGCAGGGGAUCUUCGGACCUUGCGCGAUUGAAUGAGUCGAUGUCGGAUUAGCUAGUUGGCGGGGUAAAGGCCCACCAAGGCGACGAUCCGUAGCUGGUCUGAGAGGAUGAUCAGCCACACUGGAACUGAGACACGGUCCAGACUCCUACGGGAGGCAGCAGUGGGGAAUAUUGGACAAUGGGCGCAAGCCGGAUCCAGCCAUACCGCGUGGGUGAAGAAGGCCUUCGGGUUGUAAAGCCCUUUGCUGGGAAAGAAAAGCAGCAGGUUAAUACCCCGCUGUUCUGACGGUACCCAAAGAAUAAGCACCGGCUAACUUCGUG
rnacentral:rRNA from 1 species